rnacentral:rRNA from 1 species
UGGGGAAUAUUGCACAAUGGGCGCAAGCCUGAUGCAGCCAUGCCGCGUGUGUGAAGAAGGCCUUCGGGUUGUAAAGCACUUUCAGCGGGGAGGAAGGCGUUAAGGUUAAUAACCUUGGCGAUUGACGUUACCCGCAGAAGAAGCACCGGCUAACUCCGUGCCAGCAGCCGCGGUAAUACGGCGGGUGCAAGCGUUAAUCGGAAUUACUGGGCGUAAAGGGCACGCAGGCGGUCUGUCAAGUCGGAUGUGAAAUCCCCGGGCUCAACCUGGGAACUGCAUUCGAAACUGGCAGGCUAGAGUCUUGUAGAGGGGGGUAGAAUUCCAGGGGUAGCGGGGAAAUGCGUAGGGAUCUGGAGGAAAACCGGUGGCGAAGGCGGCCCCCUGGAGAAAGACUGACGCUCAGGUGUGAAAGCGUGGGGAGCAAACAGG